CCUACGGGAGGCAGCAGUGGGGAAUAUUGCGCAAUGGGGGAAACCCUGACGCAGCAACGCCGCGUGAGUGAGGAAGGACUUCGGUCUGUAAAGCUCUGUUAAUGAGGAAAAAAUGGUAGUUGGUCUAAUAGGCCGAUUAUUUGAUGGUACUCAUAGAGGAAGCACCGGCUAACUUCGUGCCAGCAGCCGCGGUAAUACGAAGGGUGCAAGCGUUGUUCGGAUUUAUUGGGCGUAAAGCGCGCGUAGGCGGACCUGCAAGUAAGAUGUGAAAUCUCGAGGCUCAACCUCGAAACUGCGUCUUAAACUACAGGUCUAGAAUCUCGGAGGGGGAAGGGGAAUUUCGCAUGUAGGGGUAAAACUCCGUAGAUAUGCGAAGGAACACCAGAGGCGAAGGCGCCUUCCUGGACGAGUAUUGACGCUGAGGCGCGAAAGCGUGGGGAUCAAACAGGAUUAGAUACCCUGGUAGUCCACGCUGUAAACGAUGAACACUAGGUAUUGGAGGAUUUGACCCCCUUCAGUGCCGUAGCUAACGCGUUAAGUGUUCCGCCUGGGAAGUCGGUCGCAAGACUUAAAACGUUAAAGGAAUUGAGCGUGAGAGUGCGACGACGACGACGAGGGAGGAGG
rnacentral:rRNA from 1 species